rnacentral:rRNA from 1 species
UUGGACCUGAUAUCAGACAAGAUUACCCGCUGA